UUGCUUUGUGUGAGAGGAAAAGCCUCUAGAGCCCAUUUCAUCCACACACUGUAUACACUCUGAGUCACUGUGUGUAUUAGCUGUCUGAACAAAUGCAGUUUCCCCUGCCUACAGUGGGUGGAAAGAGUAUAGAAAAGCAUCAUUUAUUCUGAUUAUUUAUUCUUAUCACCUAGUUAAGAGAAAAGAAACGUACAACCCAUCUACUUUUAUGUUCUUCUAAAGACUUUAUUAUGCUAUAAAUUUGCAUUAUACUCAAAGUAGAUCUCAAGACGUUGUUACAGAGUAAAGACUUGCACAAGACUGGAACGCAGUGAUCCACUUAUCUGAGUAAAUAAACGCAUGCUGACACUCUGGAAGCUCUCAACCCCAAAUGCUGUAUAAUGUGCCUGUGAAAUGUGCACUUGAUCAUUUUGCAUUAUAUCACUGCAACACAAGUGGAGCAUAUUAUGUAUGCAAUAUGAAAAUGAACUUACUUUGCUGCUGAAUGAGCACAAUCCCACUCAUACUUUUGUGCUUUUCAGGCCCCAUCGCACUCUCUGUCAAGUGGUAAACUUCAUCUGUAUGUGCGUGCUAGUGCCGGAUGGUAUAAUAGCUUGGAUACUCCACAGAGCUGACGGAGAAUAAUGCAGUUUCCUUGUGAGUGGCCCUGGCUUCAUUCUCCAGACCUCUGCACCUGGAAAAUUAGGAUUUUGUAUGCAAGUGUGUGUGUGUCUCUCUCUCUCUGUGAGUGUGUAUUUAUAUAUGCACACAUACAACUGAAGAGUGAGCAAGGGCAGCAGCUUAUGCCCUGCAUGCCUCGACAGAUAAAUUAGAUUUACAUGUAAAGUAACUGACGAGGGAAAUUGUUUUCGGUGUCUUUAGUGCUCUGACAAACAAAAUGGAUCGUGUUUGGAUCAGACAUCACUCCACACUUAUUUUUACAAUGCACAAGAGAGAAGCUUUUAUUAAUACCAAGACACAAACAUGGGUGUCAGCAAAACUUUAUUUACAAGCAAUGGUGAAAACCACUGUCACAGUUUCACUUGGAUGUAUGCAAGACUUUGCACUGCUGCAAUAAAGCUACAAAAACGCUUAUCUCUCAGAACUAGUAUAAGGUUAUUGAUGAAUAAGGCUGACCAGCACACUGCAUAAAAAGAUGGACAACAUAACGGCUCUUUGAAAGGAAGGUCAAGCAGUUUACAUAGGGUGACCGUAGUCUGAAUCCUCAAAAAGAGGAUAUACGACUACACGGGGGCGGAGUCACAGAGUCGGGUGUAGUAAAUUUUGAAAGUUUUUCGGGUCAGGUCGAGUGUUUUUUACGUACUUCUGAGUCAGUAAUUCCAUGCCACGCAAACUCAAAACUUCCAUACACAACCCCAGACAGUUGAAGGAUUUUAUCAACUCCCCCGGAUAAGGCUGGACAAGGCAGGACAGCCCCCCAAAAAGAGGACCCUUUUUGGUCACCCUCGUUUACAGAUCCUCCUAGCUGACUGGCUCCAAUAAAAACAUAAGUCGCCUCCAUGUAAACAGAGAGGAUAGAGUUAAAAUAUAAAAUACAAAAUAUUUUUCUCUAACUCUGUUAUUACUAACUUUUACUAACUCUAUCAAAACAUCACCAGAGAGAGAACUUUAGUUUUUAGUUUUAGUAAGUUAGGUGAGUCUAUCUAUGAACGACAACUCUGUGAAAAAAUAGGGCUCCAAUAACACUGUGUGCACUGGAAAAGCAGAGCAGAGAAGGAAGAGAGUGAAGAAACUUAUUCAUAGAACUUUGUUUAACCAUGAUUGUCAUCUUGAAAGUGAGACAAGAAACUCAGUAUGUUAAUAUGUUGUUGAAAAAAUUGAUUUAUCACUUUAGUCCGACUAAAAAUAGACUAAAAUGUAUGUUCACACGCACAGUUAACUAUAUGUCUUUGGCAAUAGCUCCUCUUAACAGUACAUGUAAAUGCACUGACUGUUAUGCUGCAGACUGUGCUCACCUGAGGACUCUUCAUAAUUUUUCUUUAAGUAUAAGUGUUGGGUAGCAGAUCCCUUUCUGGCUCCAAAUGCACAAUGUGUCAGCGCCCUCAGAGGUAAAACUUAGACUUUGAUUUUUGCAGUUUGUUUUUUCAGUGGGAAGCAGUGGUGAUACAUCGUCCAUCUUCAUACACAGUCAAUGCCUGCAUCUCAAAGAUAUAAAAAUAGACACUGGUACAAGUUCAGCAAUGACUUCCUCUACCAGAAUGUACAGAUUGAAUUUGCUGCAUUUCAACCUGGCCUGGCCUUCACACAGGGAGACCUCAGAGACAUGACCCCCUCCUCUGCUGAGGGACCGAGCAGUACCGAGAGGGUCAGCCUUGCAUUUGCAGUGACUCUGACAUGUCUGUUUGUUUAACAUGCAUUAUAAAUGAAAGACCAGAGAGAGGGAGGAGAGAGCAGGGAGGGAGGGCAGCAGAGGAGAGGAUGGGAGGAAUGCAGAGAUGACACCAGGAAGACAGUGAGACGAGGGGGCAAAAGGAGGUGGCAGUUCACAAGAGAGUUGACACAGUACCACAAACAUACUACAGGCUGAAGAUUACCCUGCUUUAAAGAGAAGAUGAAUGUAGAUCUAUGAUGGAAAAAAAAGGUAAAAAACAAGAUUUCAGUGAGACUUAUUGUAGUGAGGAAAUUUUACUCCAUUUUCCCAAUAAUAACUUAUAAAAUGAGUAUUUCUUACAUAUGGCGAUUUAUCUUCAUAAUAGUGUAAUGACCAUCCAUUAUCAUUCAGCAUGUUGUAUACAUUCUCACAGAUGAAUAAUAAAUGAAGCUGUUGUUCAUUAUGGGAGGAGCACAGUUUGUGGAGGACUUACAGGUUGAGCUGUAAUGUAAAUGACGGGUCCAUUAAGGCUGAUAGAAGUGUAAAUAAUUCAAGCGCAUGUGCCUGUGUGUGUGUAUGUGUGUGCCUCAUACUUAAGGGAGGAUAUUGAAGAGUGGGGAAACACAAAGACAUUUUUUCCCCUUAAGUCUAAUGAAUGGAAAACACAGCGAGUCUGACUGACAGGGCGGAUGCAUUUAAAGGCAGCAAGAACAUGCUGGAGGAAAAGAGAUGGAGUGAGUAUUCAGGUCUGCUUGAGCUAAACAGAGGACUGUGAGAUCAUUGCAGCUGAAGUCCUUGAAUCCCAGAGAAAAGCUAAAUCCCAGGACCCUGCAAAUCUGCAUCAUCACAGAAGUUUAGAGGAAGGGCAGAUGUUGAAUUGCUCUGGGUAUUUCUGCUGCAGCAUAAACUGGCCUCAAGAGGGAGCUCUUAUCAUGGAAAUGCUUUCCAUGGCCUCCUCCCCAGGCUCUUCAUUUAAGCGCACCCCUCUGUAAAAUUUCAUCCAUUAAGCUCAGACCUCCCUUAACCCAACAACAUUUCUGUUUUUGGGCUUGACUCAACACAGAAUCCCUCUGGCAAGAAAAAUGUGAGCCAGGUUUCCUGAGCUCCACAAAAGAAAGCCAGCGGCCAAACGGACCCGGAUUCUGCUGGCUUUGGGGGAUUUUUCUCGACUGUCCUAAACUCGGUGACCUCUGUGUAGGGGCUGGAGUGAAUGUGUAAUGUUUUUUUAAGGCCAUCACACCUUACAUAUUGAUCCGAGAGAGGGUUGCUGUUACCCUCCGUGACACUGCCAGGACACCAGCUAACACCUGCUAAUGCAUUUUGGCGUCCUGGUGGAUUUACAGGAAAUAAGUCUGGACUGGUUUACACUUCUAGGGGAAAAAUAUUCAGCUUUACUUUGGUCUCCAACAACUCUAGUGCUCACCCACUUUCCCUAUACAGCCAUGCUGCUUAAUUUGCUUGGCUGAAAUGCAUGUAAGAGUGCAGUUUUAAUCUGAUGCCCUGUCACAAUACCACAAGAGUUUGUAGUCCUGAAUGCCCAUAAUUGGUGGUUGGAUGCUACAGAUGCUGCAGAAGCUCUCGAAGCGCAGAGCUAUUUGCUGCUGAUCUGUCUGCAGUUACUCUCCUGCACACAUUCAUCCAAUUUUGAGAGUGCACUGUUCCCUGCUCCCCAUUCAGCUCAACAGCUCUUAAAAUAUGAGCAGGUACUCAAGUGCUGUAAGUUGUAUUAUCUACUUAUUAUUCCUGGAUGCAUUAAAAGUGAGAACCAGAUGGAAAAUAUUCUGACACCAUGAGUGUGCUUGUAGCUGAACUUGCAUGUGUACUCUUCAUUUUUCUUCAGUUAAUCCUUCAAAACCGUAUAGAGAACAAAAAUAAAUACAUUUUUGAAGUCGGAUAAAUAGAUGCACACUGCACACAAAGCCCAUCUCCCUCUACUUAUUUGAUAGUUAAUAAAAAUGGGGCAUAAAUGAAAUAAUUAUUAUUUGUGUAAUUCAUGUUGGAGCCAUAAAAAACGCCUGUGCACAAAAAAGACAACACAGAUAAUAUUAAGGACCAUGCCAAGAUUGAACAGAGACUUCUGAUGUGUGUGUGUGUGUGUGUGUGUGUGUGUGUGUGUGUGUGUGUGUGUGUGUGUGUGUGUGUGUGUUUUAGGGGUGUUUGUGAAAGUGUUAGAGAGUGCUUCAAAAGCUUUAAGAUGGUUUUGAUGCCUCUGCAAUUUUAAGUGUUCGUGACAGUCAUUACUGUCCCCUGCUGUGUCUUCAUGCUGGUGUGAAUGUGUGCUUUUCUGACUGGUAUCUGUAUGUGUGUGUAUCAUAUUUGGUGGUAACCUGGAUAUAGUGAUGAUUCAUUUUUCAUAGCAGCAUCACAUUAUGUAAAAAUAGAUAAAAGGUGGAUUGAUUGAUUGAUUUCGAGGGUGACUGAAAAUUCUAUAGGAAGGUUGCUUUGGUUGGGCAUCAUGUUUUUUCAAACCCAAAGUGUCUCUUCUCUUCUUCUCUGGAUUUACUGUUUUCUUGAUUUUCAGAGGUAGAAAGCAGCCAAUCAUAAUUACUCAAGUUACUGUAUCUAAGUAGCUUUUUUGUGUGAUUGCAGUUUUAUUAAUAACUUUUAAAAUCAGAACUUUGACUUUUACUUUAGUGUUUUCUGUUGUAAGCUUUGUACUUCGCCAUAUUUCACACCAAAUCAAAAAACAUGCAAGACUUGUAUCAGCUCCAUAACGGAUAACGUCUACACUGCAAAAAUAUUCAGACUUUCCAAAUGCCUUCACCUUGUUUCUAGAAAAAAAUCUCAUAUCAGGCAAAUUAAAGUCAUACUUCAAGAUAUUUUGAGUGAAGAUUUUGAUAAUUUUCUUGAAAUAAGUAUUACUUCUCGUUUCAAGAAGGUCUUUUUUACUCAAUGCAAUCACUGAAGUCUUUACAUUAGCCUCAUACUAAAAUUUCUCUUUGCUCAGCCAGCCAUGACUUGAGUGUGUCUACAAAGUGCAAUACUGGAGAAAGAUGAUGGAAAAAUACAAUAACUUCACCCAAGACUGGGCCAAAGUCAAUAUCACAGUCACAAAGUAGUUGGUUUUAUUGUGUCAAUUUGAGAAAAUACGCUUCUGCAUAAUUCAAGGGGAUCAAAUUUUACUCCCCCACUGCCAUUGGAUGAUAGUGCAUUUCAAGUAAAGUACUUUUUAUAUUUACAUGAGAAGGUCAAUAGGCUAAUAUUUUAACUUAUACUUAAAAUGUGAAUACAUCAUUGAAUACAUCAUUUUUGUACUCUUUCGGCCCUUUAAACAUCGCAGUCAUUGAAUAAGUGAACAAUGAAAAGGUUGUAAGUAAAUAUGUGACUUAUAUGAUUGUCAACAAAUGAUGUCUGCAAAAGUAACAGUGAAUUGGUCUAUGUUUUCAUACUCUCUACUCUACGUUUUCCUCCUCGACCACAUCCAUACACAUUACUUAACUUAGAAACUGCAUCCCCAUGGAUCUCCAUGCUAUAACCAGACAAUCACUUAGUGUCUGGCUGUGGCCUGCUACUCACAGAUUGCACUGUUCCCCCUUUGGCCAAGGGAAUGGAGGAUUAUGCAACGAGUGGCCUACCUCAGGUCAUUAAGAUGCCCUCAGUCAGCAGAACUGGCACAUCUGCGUGUGCUGAUCAGCUGGGCCCUGUGGUCGGUGUGGGGAUGAUAACUGCACGCUAAUUAAAAACCCAUUCAUCGGAGUGAAAGGCCAAUUAAAGGCCUAAUAUUUGAUAAGGCUCUCAGUUCACUCAGCAGCAAGCCCACCUGGGAAGUAUUUAUUAAAUGCUAAUGGAGACUGUAAUUAAUAUCCAGGGUGGAUUAACGUGCAACUGAAUAUCAUUCAUGUUCACAGAGAGGGAGUAAGACAGAGGCAGGGAGAGGGGUUGAACAAGUACAAAUGAGAGGCACAUAGGUAACGCAGCAUUUUGCUCUGGUUGGAUGGCAUGAACACAAGAGGCUGUUAUUCAGGUUUGUCAUCAAUCUAGAGUGCGGCUGCCACAGAGCGUAACGACUCCUUUAUCACACAGCCAAAGAUUACAGCAGAAAUUUUCAGAUUCUGUGUCACAGUUCACAUCCGCUAAAAAGAGCUGACAGUUAGAUGUAGAUAAUUGGGUGCCUAAGACUGAUGGGUUGCAAACACACUGCAUGUUUGUGUGUGUUUUUGUACUUUGUAACUUGGCUUUAUUUGUUUGUAGCUGUUUCUGAAAGCAUCAGUACAGUCUACAUUAUUGCUGUUUGUGUAUUCAGAAAAAACACAAUUCAAUAGACUGCUAUAGGCAAAGUUUAAAAUAUACAGGCAUAAUGUAAUGUAAUGUAAUACAGCUAAAUGAUUUCCCAGAUGCAACAGAGCUUCGCAUUACAGGCCUGGAAACUGUUUUCUUAUUUUGAGUUGGAAAAAGUAAAAUCACUUUUAGGAACUGAAUUUUGAUGGACAUAUUUCAGUGUGCAUACUGCUCCUUUCCUUCAACACUUAUUUAGUCAUGGUAACCCAAAAAUGUGCUCUGAUGAGGUUGUUAUUAUGGUCAAUUUUAGGAAAAAGGCUCUUUCAUGCCAUGAUGAUUGCCCAGUAAUUUUUUUUUCACCUUCCACCCAGUCCAGCAAAAACCAUCAAUCACCAAAUGUGUUUUUUUUAGAUUAAGUUCUUCUUUCAAGUCAGAUCUUCUUAGAAUUUACAGAAAUAUUAGGUGUUUUACUGUUGAUAAAGAAAAGUCUUCUACUUCCAAAAUGCCUAUUAGUAACUUUAAUGAAACCAUUUGAUUCAACAGAAGUGACAGUCACAGUCAGAAGGCUGCUCUGCUAGCUAAGUAAUGGUUCAUGUCAAAAAACAAAUGCCAUCAGAAGUUAUACUACAUAACAUGUCAACUGGUGUAGUAACUUGGUUUAGAUUAUUUCUUGAACACAGAAAGAGUUGUAGUUUAGAAUAAAUUCUUCCCAAUCAGACUGUCCAGACUUGCAAAUUAGGAAUUCAACAUGGUUCAGUUUUAGGCCUUUUAAUUUUUACUUGAUAGAUAAAAGAUUAACCUGACAGCCACAAAAGAUUUCAAUGCUUGAUGUAUGUAGACUAUACAAUCAUUCUGCAAAAACCCCUCAGAUGGCAGCAGGGAUACUCUCAAGUGACAUGUCUGGUGCGUCAGAUGGUUCCAGCGUAAUCAUCUAAACAGUAAUAAUAAUAAUAAUGUGCUUUCUAAUAAAAAGAAAAGUCACUGAAGAGUUUAGAGUAAAUUUUGUUGAGAAUCGGAUGGGUAAGGUAAACGAAUUGAAAAUUUGGAUGUUACUUUAGAUCCCACUUUUAAAUUUGAUGGAAAUGUUAAGAGAUUGUGCAAAACUGUCCAGACAAACUUUUGAUAUGAUAUGAACCCAUCAGGUCAUUAUAUAAGCAACAAAAAUAAUGGAUCAGGAAUUUAUCAGGCUGCCUCACUCUACAGAGGAACUUCUUACUGAGUUGAACAGUUUGGUUAAGUUUUCCCUCACAAAACCACAAACGUUUCGUCACUGGUAAACAAACAAAGUUGUUGAAUCAGAUCUGGACGUACACUAAGUGGAAGCUGUUUGGCAGCAAAAUGUAGAGCAACACUCAGUCAAUCAUCCUUCGCAGCAUGAGGUAUAAAACUAUGGAAACCAUUACCAUCUGAAAGAAUUGUCAGAACUGAAGGAUUUUAGUACACAUAUCAAGCAAUGGCUGAAACUGAAGUGAGUCUGUUAACACUGGCUUUUAAGUUUCACAUACAAAUUCUUAAACAUGAUCAUGAUUUUGCUGUUUUCUUGGUCUCUAUUCAUGCUUGUCUCCACCUUUUGUUAAAGUCCUACAUUUCAUAGCAAACACUAAUCUUAUUCUAUGUUUUAUUGGCUGUAGUUUAAGCUCAAUAUUCGGUUGUUUUUGUUUUAAUGUUGGAAGCCUAAACAGGGACAGGGGUUGCAAAUUAGCCAUGACAAAAAACCUGUAUGCAUCUACUUUGUGUGAUUCAGGAAUGAAUGUUUCAUACAUGUCUUUCUGUCAAGGAAACACUCAAAUUAAAAGAUGUGCUAAUAAAAGAGUCUGCCCUCCUGACUGGACCCAGCAUGCAGUCAUUAUUAUCCCAGUUAAUCAUCAUUAUUUACUACUCUUACCUCUGUCUCACUGUCUUUAUUCCCUCUUCUUCUUCUUCUUUCCUUCUUAUUUUCUCAUUCCCAGAUGGAAAAUUACUUUUUAAUUUUUGCCCAGUGAAUUUCAUUGAGAAGCUUUUGAAUAAAAGGGAUUUGCGUGUGACACUUCCCAGCACAAUGAGAGCGAGUGCUUUCAGCUGGGGCCCCCUUUGCUAAGUUUCCUACCGUCAUUGUUGAUGCCCUUUUGUUUGGUCAGGCUCUUCUCCUCUGGUGUGGAUUUGUCCUCUUUGUAUCCAAAAUAAACAUCAAAACAGUCCAAAACUGAAAGUUGGAUAUGACAAUUGGCUUAUUUAAAUGACGAACAAAAGAUGACUGAAUUCACAGAACAACAUCAUCCAAUAAGUCCUGUAGCUCCGGCCAAAACCAUGUACCUGAUUGCGUGUGCAACACUUGUUCCAAGCAGUGUUGCCCCUAAAUGCUCUCUUGGGCUGUCUACAGUGCCCUACAGUGACAACAAAAGAAAACAAGAAAAUGGCUCCAACAGUCCGCUUCAGUUUGCACUUUUGAGCUCCUACUGUGGUUCUAGAUUUGUCUGCUGUCAGGGCCCCCUUAUGGCCUGGGGCAAUAAGUUACUCGUUGACUGCGGCGCCUAUAGAUAAGCAGGUCUAUGGUUGUCCCUUUCAGUAUUUGGUGUUUACUCCUUCCCCCACUCUUUCCCACAUUAGCCCUCUCCCUCAAGUUUGUCCAAUAUUUUUUAAAACUAAACUUUUCAGAAAUGCAGAAAUUUCCCAGAAACGAAACAGUGUUCAUGUUUAUGCAUACAUUCAGUUUAUUAUGGUAAAACACUGACAGAGACCUGUUUUUGAAUCAGUACUUUUUCUACUGAUGUCUUGAGUCAAGGUUUGCUGGUUAUACUUUCAUACUUUCACAAAAGUAAGGGAGGAAAUUGGUUUUGCACCGUUUUGAUCCUCCAGGCACCCUCCAUCUCCAACUUCAAUGCCUGGUCAUUCCAUAUUAUCACACACACCAAUGAAGCUCAGCAAGAGUUCAAUAUGUAAGACUCUCUUCCUGCUUACUCCACACAUUAAGUUCAAUUAUCUCUCUUUCUUCCUUUUCCAGCUCAAUCAGCUGAGCGCGUUCACGCCUUUCAGUGAAAUGCUUUGUAAUCUGCAGUGACCCCCCAGGAGCCGGUCAUGUCCAUGCAGCCAAACUCUAAACUCUUCUGUUUUUUUUCUGCUGUCAGCUCCUUGUUCAGUGAGAUAAACCUGGUGGACAUUUACUCUAUUCACCUGCAGUCUCAGCUCAGGGAUUUCUCCUGUCUGAAUAUGUUGAGAAAAACCUUCAAAACGAUAACCUCGUGAUCAUUUUAAACAAAUCUCUUUUGCUGUUCCCUUAGAUCACAAUAUCUUUACUCUAACAUAAAUAUCGCCUUAGUAACCAGCUUGAAUGAGUUUCAAAUCACAAAAUUGUCACCCUUUUUCUCUAUUUUUCCUCUGUGACAGUCCCUGCCUAUUUGUGUGACUGUUUCGGUGAGCUCUCUCUAAAUGACUGUCCUUGCUGCUGUCCCUCAGAAACCAGCCUCUAUUUAUAAGUUGUUUUUUUAAAACUGUGGUCACCGAGUAGCACACGACUUGGGAGGUAACCUCACUGCAUCCUCAGCCUCUUCAAAACAGAGGACAGGCCAGGUUCAAACUGUAGAUAACAUGCCUAGCAAAAUGAUUUCCCUCUAGAACAAGCUUUUUACGAAUAGCUUUGUCUGCAGCAGCUGCUCUCAGCAAAGUUAUUAUUUGACCGCUUUUGUAGACGGUAGUGUGUUGUUUUCUUCUCAUUGAGGCUUCAUUUUUUAUUCCUGACCUUGUUUAUGUUCCUCCUCACGCCAUUAGGAACCAUGUAGUGUGUCUUCAUUACACACGGCUGCUCUAUUAGCCAAGACUAAUAGACAUGGUCACAGAGGAAGGACAUGCCAAUAGCACCAAGCAUGCUAAAGCAAACGACCUAUUGGAUUGGUGGCAGGAUUACGGUUACAGAGAAAGGUUGGGGUUAGAGUUACAAUUGAACACUGGUGUAUUGAGAUAGGGAUUGAUAGUGUUUAAUGGCUCCUAUCCAGUGUUAAACACCUGGAGGCUGGUGUCAGCUGUUUACUGGUGAAAAGAGCCAAGCUGUUAAACACACAUGCUACAAAAACACGCACAAGGAGCACUAUCAUCUGAAGUGGCUGUUUAGCUAUUCUUAAUCUGUGCAUGUUGUUUUGACAUAGCUCAGACUUGUGUUUUCCUAAGUGUGUCACACUCCUGCACAACAGUAAGAAGAGAAACAGGAACGAAAGGGACAGACAUGUUGUUGCUGGCUUUCAUAAUAAAUAAACUGAGUAGUACAGUAAAUAAUCAUCACUUCAAACCAAUUAAAGUUCCACUCGGAGGAGCAUUUACAGUGUGCGCAUUUUCUCUCAAUGAGAAAAAGUUAACGAAUGCACAUUCCUCUGAAAAAGACAGCAACAUCCAAUUAAAUUACGACUAGAAUGUAUCUGAAAUAGUGUUAGCUGACUAAUACAAAUAAAUAGUGUUUUCCCAGAUGCAAA